GAUGAACGCUGGCGGCGUGCUUAGCACAUGCAAGUCGAACGGAAAGGCCGAAGCUUGCUUCGGUACUCGAGUGGCGAACGGGUGAGUAACACGUGGGUGAUCUGCCCUGUACUUCGGGAUAAGCUUGGGAAACUGGGUCUAAUACCGGAUAUGACGAUCUCUUGGAUGGGGUUGUGGAAAGCUUUUGCGGUAUGGGAUGAGCUCGCGGCCUAUCAGCUUGUUGGUGGGGUAAUGGCCUACCAAGGCGUCGACGGGUAGCCGGCCUGAGAGGGUGUACGGCCACAUUGGGACUGAGAUACGGCCCAGACUCCUACGGGAGGCAGCAGUGGGGAAUAUUGCACAAUGGGCGCAAGCCUGAUGCAGCGACGCCGCGUGGGGGAUGAAGGCCUUCGGGUUGUAAACUCCUGUCGCAAUCGACGAAGCCUUUUGGUGACGGUAGGUUGAGAAGAAGCACCGGCUAACUACGUG
rnacentral:rRNA from 1 species